rnacentral:snRNA from 1 species
GGAUGUGAGGGCGAUCUGGCUGCGACAUCUGUCACCCCAUUGAUCGCCAGGGUUGAUUCGGCUGAUCUGGCUGGCUAGGCGGGUGUCCCCUUCCUCCCUCACCGCUCCAUAUGCGUCCCUCCCGAAGUUGCGCGCUCCGUCGAAGAGGACGGCCUUCCCUGAAUAGAGACGGGUCGAGGGUAUACGAGUAGCUGCGCUCCCCUGCUAGAACCUCCAAACAAGCUCUCAAGAAUAGCUUCUUAAUUUAAGGUUGGAUAUUUAGUAACCUUAAUUACACCUGCGCCUUAAUUCUCCUUGACUAGAAAUGUAA